AUGCACCCACUGGUAUGCCUUAAUUAAUUUGCUUUUGUUCUUUGGAUUUGCACUAGGAUGCAAAAAGAAACAAUUCCAGUGCUAUAUGCCUUUCUCUGUUGCAGCCAGAUUGAAUAGGGUAACAUCU